rnacentral:lncRNA from 1 species
GCUACCGUGUCUGGCUUUAAAGGUAUUUUUCAGAGAGCCUUGAGUUCCCUCUAGUAACUCUUAGAGACAAGCUUUCUGCUGUAUAACAGACAAGUCAAGGUCAUAGCAAACACAGGCUGAAGCGAAUCACCCUUCAUAGAGCUUUAUUAGGGAGAGCUACAGGCUCAUGAGCAGAGGCGCCCACGAUGGGGCCUGAAGCGGGAGAGCAUAAGGAAAGAGAGCCACCAGGUACAGCAUGAUGGGGACCCUGAAGGGAAAGAAAGGGGACAUUUUACAAUUUUUUGGGGGGUGGGGGGAGGGUGAUAAGAUCCAUAUCACUUGACCUAGCUAGCCUAUGUGGUGUGAGUCACAAGACAGGAAGGAACUAGAUAUAAGUAGAGUUAUAAGUCGAGGUUGUCUGGGCAUCAGUGUCUGGGCUUGGCACUGUAGGGGGCUUAGAGAGAAUGGAACUCUGAGAGCUGUGAGGUCACAGCAGCUCUCUGAAGCUGGCCUUGAGAGACUGAGGGGUGUGGCCUCCCUCAUUCUGGGGAGAGGGAGCAGUGGGUAGAGGACCUGGCUUCUGCCACUGCCCUCUGAGCACUCUUUGCAACCCCCUGUGUUGUGUCGAUUUUUCUUUAAACUUUCCUGAGACUGGGACUCAGGAAGCCCUGGCUGGCCUCGACCUUGCGACCUUGCGACCUUGCAGUGCAGCACAGGAUGACCUGCCUCUCCUGCCUCUGCCUCCCCAGGAGCUGGCAUUACAGGCAUGGGCACCACACUUACAUUGGGUGCUGGGGAAUCAAACCCAGGGCUUCAGGCAAGUUAAGCAAGCACACUACUACUGAGUUACAACCCCAGCCCUCGUAUCUUUUCUAAGAAUGGUCUCGAACCUUUGCUUCCAGGAGUCUGAGCUACGCUGCCAGUGCUCACUGGUGUCGUCCCUGCCAGAGGCCGCGGACCUUAGUGGUCGUUUCCCUUCACUACCUUUCACCCUUAGCAUCUCCCUUCAGAGAGAAGGCCCAAGUCUCUGCCCUCUAUUUCUUGAGGUUAAUUACAUCCCUGGCUUGGCAUCUGUCCUGUGCCCUACCCAGCCCCUUUCCCCAACACCUGCAGUGUAUACUAUUCUUGCAGAAGUGGGAGGUGGCUUGGUAAAGACUUUAUAAUCCUGAGAGAGGACCUGAAGCAAGGAAGAUGGCGAUACAGUCACAGAUCCCACCCAGAGAAGAGUUAAUUCAUGGCAGGCAGAGUGGAGGGAUGUCCUGGGCUGGAUCAAGUGGUGGAAGAUAAGAAAGAGGGCCAAAACCAGCAUGUGGUGAUGUGGGCCUCUAAUCCCAACAAGUUCAGGUCCCAGCUCUCCUAUGGUUAAGAGGGCAGGCAGAGAGAGGAGGCUGUCUGCAGAGAGAGGAGGCUGCUGCAGAGAGAGGAGGCUGCUGCAGAGAGAGGAGGCUGCUGCAGAGAGAGGAGGCUGCUGCAGAGAGAGGAGGCUGCUGCAGAGAGAGGAGGUAUCUGGAGUUCAUGGAUCAGCUAGCCUGGCAUAUGCAAAGGACAACAAGAGACCCUACCUCAAGAAAGGUCAAAACUAAGAUCUGAUGCUCAGUGAGGCCCUGUGGCCUACCAUCUAUCCACCAUGUCAGGUAUUGGACAGACACACACACAUACACACACAUACACAC